rnacentral:snRNA from 1 species
GGAUGUGAGGGUGACCUGACUGCAACACUUGUCACCCUAUUGAUUGCCAAGGUUCAUUCGCCCAUCUGGCUGCUGGUGGGGUCUUGUUUCCUUCCUCUCUCACCUCACUGCUCUAUAGGCAUCCUUUCCAAAGUUGCUCAAUUGGCCCAAUAGAGGAGGAUCAUUAGUAGGUCAAGUGUUUACAAGUAGCUGCUACCCUGCUAGAACCUCCAAACAAGCCCUCAAAGUAACUGAUUAUGGCUUAGCUACUAGUAAAGACUACAUAGUCAUCCCAAU